rnacentral:rRNA from 1 species
GAUGAACGCUGGCGGCGUGCUUAACACAUGCAAGUCGAACGGAAAGGCCAGUGCUUGCCCUGGUACUCGAGUGGCGAACGGGUGAGUAACACGUGGGUGAUCUGCCCUGUACUUCGGGAUAAGCUUGGGAAACUGGGUCUAAUACCGGAUAGGACAACUUUUUGGAUAUUGUUGUGGAAAGCUUUUGCGGUAUGGGAUGAGCUCGCGGCCUAUCAGCUUGUUGGUGGGGUAAUGGCCUACCAAGGCGUCGACGGGUAGCCGGCCUGAGAGGGUGUACGGCCACAGUGGGACUGAGAUACGGCCCAGACUCCUACGGGAGGCAGCAGUGGGGAAUAUUGCACAAUGGGCGCAAGCCUGAUGCAGCGACGCCGCGUGGGGGAUGAAGGCCUUCGGGUUGUAAACUCCUUUCGCUAGGGACGAAGCUUUUUUGUGACGGUACCUGGAGAAGAAGCACCGGCUAACUACGUG